rnacentral:rRNA from 1 species
CACGGAGUUAGCCGAUCCUUAUUCUCACGGUACAUUCAGCCCGGUAUACAUACCGGGGGUUAUUCCCGUAGCAAAAGCAGUUUACAACCCGUAGGGCCGUCUUCCUGCACGCGGCAUGGCUGGUUCAGGGUUCCCCCCAUUGACCAAUAUUCCUUACUGCUGCCUCCCGUAGGGUCUGGUCCGUGUCUCAGUACCAGUGUGGGGGUUUCUCCUCUCAGAGCCCCUAGACAUCGUCGCCUUGGUGGCCGUUACCCCGCAACCAGCUAAUGUCACGCGAGCCCAUCCGUCCCCUAUGAAUACUUUAAAUGAAGGCCCAUGCGGACCUGCAUUCUCAUGCGGUAUUAAUCCGGAUUUCUCCCGGGCUAGUCCCCCUGGGACGGGCAGGUUGCUCACGCGUUACGCACCCGUGCGCCACUCUCACGGGGACCAAGCCCCCGUAUCCCCGUUGACUUGCAUGUAUUAGGCCUGCCGCUAGCGUUCAUCCUGAGCCAGGAUCCAAAACUCU